rfam:Alligator mississippiensis ScZkoYb_67, whole genome shotgun sequence.
GGGAGAGGAGACACCAUAAUCAACCAGGUGGUUUUCCCAGUGAGGCUUGAACCUUGCACUCUGGUCUGACCCCUGCGAUUUCCCCAAAUGUGGGAAACUCAACUGCAUAAUUUGUGGUAGUGGGGAACUGCAUCCCCCGU